rnacentral:lncRNA from 1 species
GUAGGGAAGGGGGACGAUGCAGUUUUUCACAUUAAAUGUGUGGGAAAGAUAACAGUUCCUUUCUACUAGUAUACUUUAGCCUAAAAUUGUUCUUUUAAAGAUUUUUUUUUUUUAACCUGGGACUAAUUACUGUAUCCAAAUAGAAUCUGCUGCUCUGAGUCCUUAUUUCUGUGAACCUAGCUGGGGAGUGUGGUGCUCCCUCUGUGAAGUGGCACUCAGGGUCUCACUUGUGACAGACCAUGCUUGCUGCCACCACUGCAGUCUCUCUAAUGGGUGGGACAGUGAUGUCUGCUGUGAAGUGUUGGGGUGCAUUUGUGUGUGACAUUUUCCAUCUUUCCCAGGGAGAGAGAGGGCCGCUCGGUCCUCCUGGCUUGCCUGGAUUCAGCGGCAAUCCUGUGAGUACAAGAUUAUUUAAAUCGGAUUUUCUCUGGCUAUCCUCCCACUCAUCGUUUGGGGACUCAUACUUUACUACUGCUAAUAUUUUCGGAGAAGCAAAACUUACAGCUAAAUUUUUCUUCUAGGGACCACCAGGGUUACCAGGAAUGAAGGUAUGUUUAAUUUAAUUUUGUUUUAAUCCUCUGGGUUCCUCAUAAGAAAUCAAUUG